CUGGGAGGACCAUCUCCCAAGGCUAAAUACUCCCUAGUGACCGAUAGUGAACCAGUACCGUGAGGGAAAGGUGAAAAGCACCCCGGAAGGGGAGUGAAACAGAUCCUGAAACCGUGUGCCUACAAGUAGUUAGAGCCCGUUAAUGGGUGAUAGCGUGCCUUUUGUAGAAUGAACCGGCGAGUUACGAUUACAUGCAAGGUUAAGUUGAAGAGACGGAGCCGCAGCGAAAGCGAGUCUGAAUAGGGCGAUUGAGUAUGUGGUCGUAGACCCGAAACCAGGUGAUCUACCCAUGUCCAGGGUGAAGUCCAGGUAACACUGGAUGGAGGCCCGAACCCACGUACGUUGAAAAGUGCGGGGAUGAGGUGUGGGUAGCGGAGAAAUUCCAAUCGAACUUGGAGAUAGCUGGUUCUCUCCGAAAUAGCUUUAGGGCUAGCCUCACGUAGUAAGAGUCUUGGAGGUAGAGCACUGUUUGGACUAGGGGCCCUCAUCGGGUUACCGAAUUCAGACAAACUCCGAAUGCCAAAGACUUAUCCGUGGGAGUCAGACUGCGAGUGAUAAGAUCCGUAGUCAAAAGGGAAACAGCCCAGACCACCAGCUAAGGUCCCAAAGUUUACGUUAAGUGGAAAAGGAUGUGGAGUUGCUUAGACAACCAGGAUGUUGGCUUAGAAGCAGCCACCAUUUAAAGAGUGCGUAAUAGCUCACUGGUCGAGUGACUCUGCGCCGAAAAUGUACCGGGGCUAAACGUAACACCGAAGCUGUGGAUUGACAUCUACGAUGUCAGUGGUAGGAGAGCGUUCUAAGGGCGUUGAAGCUAGACCGUAAGGACUGGUGGAGCGCUUAGAAGUGAGAAUGCCGGUAUGAGUAGCGAAAGAUGGGUGAGAAUCCCAUCCACCGUAUGCCUAAGGUUUCCUGAGGAAGGCUCGUCCUCUCAGGGUUAGUCGGGACCUAAGCCGAGGCCGAAAGGCGUAGGCGAUGGACAACAGGUUGAUAUUCCUGUACCACCUCUUUAUCGUUUGAGUGAUGGGGGGACGCAGGAGGAUAGGGUAAGCGCACUGUUGGAUAUGUGCGUGUAAGCAGGUAGGCUGAGAAGUAGGAAAAUCCGCUUCUCGUGAAGGCUGAGCUGUGAUGCCGAGGGAAAUAUAGUACCGAAGUUCCUGAUUCCACACUGCCAAGAAAAGCCUCUAGCGAGAUAAAAGGUGCCCGUACCGCAAACCGACACAGGUAGGCGAGGAGAGAAUCCUAAGGUGAGCGAGAGAACUCUCGUUAAGGAACUCGGCAAAAUGACCCCGUAACUUCGGGAGAAGGGGUGCUUUUUGAGGUGAAUAGCCUCGAAGAGCCGCAGUGAAUAGGCCCAGGCGACUGUUUAGCAAAAACACAGGUCUCUGCGAAGCCGCAAGGCGAAGUAUAGGGGCUGACGCCUGCCCGGUGCUGGAAGGUUAAGAGGAGGGGUUAGCGCAAGCGAAGCUCUGAAUCGAAGCCCCAGUAAACGGCGGCCGUAACUAUAACGGUCCUAAGGUAGCGAAAUUCCUUGUCGGGUAAGUUCCGACCCGCACGAAAGGCGUAACGAUCUGGGCACUGUCUCAACGAGAGACUCGGUGAAAUUAUAGUACCUGUGAAGAUGCAGGUUACCCGCGACAGGACGGAAAGACCCCGUGGAGCUUUACUGUAGCCUGAUAUUGAAUUUUGGUACAGCUUGUACAGGAUAGGUAGGAGCCUAAGAAACCGGAGCGCUAGCUUCGGUGGAGGCGUCGGUGGGAUACUACCCUGGCUGUAUUGAAAUUCUAACCCGCACCCCUUAUCGGGGUGGGAGACAGUGUCAGGUGGGCAGUUUGACUGGGGCGGUCGCCUCCUAAAGAGUAACGGAGGCGCCCAAAGGUUCCCUCAGAAUGGUUGGAAAUCAUUCGUAGAGUGUAAAGGCACAAGGGAGCUUGACUGCGAGACCUACAAGUCGAGCAGGGACGAAAGUCGGGCUUAGUGAUCCGGUGGUUCCGCAUGGAAGGGCCAUCGCUCAACGGAUAAAAGCUACCCCGGGGAUAACAGGCUUAUCUCCCCCAAGAGUCCACAUCGACGGGGAGGUUUGGCACCUCGAUGUCGGCUCAUCGCAUCCUGGGGCUGUAGUCGGUCCCAAGGGUUGGGCUGUUCGCCCAUUAAAGCGGUACGCGAGCUGGGUUCAGAACGUCGUGAGACAGUUCGGUCCCUAUCCGUCGUGGGCGCAGGAAAUUUGAGAGGAGCUGUCCUUAGUACGAGAGGACCGGGAUGGACGCACCGCUGGUGUACCAGUUGUCUUGCCAAAGGCAUCGCUGGGUAGCUAUGUGCGGACGGGAUAAGUGCUGAAAGCAUCUAAGCAUGAAGCCCCCCUCAAGAUGAGAUUUCCCAUAGCGUCAAGCUAGUAAGAACCCUGAAAGAUGAUCAGGUUGAUAGGUCAGAGGUGGAAGCGCGGUAACGUGUGGAGCUGACUGAUACUAAUCGUUCGAGGACUUAACC
rnacentral:rRNA from 1 species